rnacentral:lncRNA from 1 species
UCAUAAAGUCUGUGAACCAGAAAACUACAGCUUCUCUCAUCGUCAGGUACCCUCUAACAUACUCAGCCCCAUCAUGGUGAGAUGCUCUCUCUCUUUGGAACAGCCGUCCACACACACACCCGCCCUCUACUCACCUGAUUGCCAAACACAGCCACGGAGCAGGCUGUUGAAACCUCAUCAGCUCCAAACCAGACCGAAGCAAUGCGUGAGGGCAUGCCCAGAAUGAAGACCUGUGCCACAGAGCAGAUGACCUGACCCACCAUUGUGACCGGGAAGAGGUGAGGCUCUAGGCUGCCCAGCUUUACCCAGGCUCCCAGGCAAUUGAGAGCUGAGCCGGUGAUAGCGAUGGUUCGAAGACCAAAUUUCUCCAGCAUCCAGGCCACGGGCAGGAGCAGAGGGAUGUAGGUCAGCAUGUAGCACAUGGACAGCCAAUCAAUGGCAAAGGCACUGACACCGUAGAAGUUCAUGAAGAUGUUAUUGAUGGAGCCGUACUGAAUCCACUGGAAGGCAUUGCACAAGGAGUAGCAACUGAACACCAGGACCACGACCCAACGACGCUUGCUCACCUUGAUCACGCUGUCUUCUCUAACCAAGCUACUAUGAUGGGUCAAACCGCUGGGUUGAGCCAAGGUACUGGGGAGUGCUGAACUGCUGGGACGGACAGAGACGCUGGGGUCGAUGGAGACACUAGGAUGGAUGGAGACACUGGGGUGGCCUGAGACGCUGGGGUGGCCUGAGACGCUGGGGUGGCCUGAGACGCUGGGAUGGAUGGAGCCGCUGGGCUGGGUGGAGUAGCUGGUGUCCAUCUGGAAUUCCGACUCUGGCGCAGGUCUGUCAUUGCUCUCCUCCUGGUUGAGACUUUCAUUCACCAUGACCACAACGAGCUCCUGAAUCCCAGGGCACGAUCACAGCCUGAACAAAGCAAAACCAAACACCAACAGCGUAAAUAACUCGUGUCCAAUAUCCAGGAUUCACCUACAGUCUUCUAACUCCUCCGAAGGGUUUGGGUUACUUCUCUGGCCCUGCCCUCUGCAGCACGCACAGCUUGUCUUCUAGGCUCCAGCUGGCUCCACUCCACCACUGAUGCUGUCCUUGGUGGUCAUUCCAUGGCACCGGCAUCUCCAAAAUACCGGGACUUCUGCAACUGGACUAAUGCACUUUCACCAGUAGCCUCUCCUGGACCUUCAUGGUGCCAAGCCUCAACGUCUCUGCAUGAGUCCUUUAACCACCUUCACCAGUGGCCUUUCCUGGCCUCUCACAGUGCCAAGCCUCAGCUGCUCUCCAUGACCCCCUCACGUCUUUAAAACCAGUACCACCCGGGUGACUCUUACACUACCAAAUUUGGCUGUCUACUCAAGGCAAAACCUUGGCGACCUCUGGAACACAGCUCCUGUGUGCUGACUUUCAGGACACUCAUUUCCAGAAGAUUCCGCUUUAGUAGUACUGACCUAUUCUGUUUGUUUUUUAAUUUAUUUUACAUAUAUGAGUACACUAUAGCUUGCCAUGGACUCGGCCCAGUCAGCCCCCCUCAGUCUGUGGGAAUCAGGGGUUCCGGCAGAUGGGCAUAGAGUCGGCAGAAAUUGGGGUGACAAAUAGACUGGACACAAGGGAGUGUGCUGGAUCUGAAUGUAAUUUGUCAAAUCAUUUGUCUAAUCAAGCAUCAAACUUUUUACACAGAAGAAAAUAGGGAAGUUAGGUGACACAAUGACAAGGUACAAUGAGGUUACAUAAAACAGAGGAAUGCAAACAUGAAGGACUGGCAGGAACCAGCUGAGAUAAAAUUCAGUGUUAACAACUGGGAAUCAAAAGCAGCUCCA